GUUAGGUGGGAGGCACAGUGUUGCUACAAGAUGAUGAGCUACGCGUAGAGAAGCCAAUUGUUAACAUCUCCAAGAUGCUAAGUCUACACUAAAGGAAAUACCUACAAUGGUUAGGAAAAAUCCUGGGAUUGCUGCUGGCUAGUAAGCCUUUUGACGUAUUUAAAUGUCGUGACUAUGGGGAGACACUGGUUAUACUCUCCAACCUCUGCGAAAGUAUCAAGAGGAUAUCAGAAAUAACUGAUAGUUUACAGGUAAAGGAACAAAUGAAACUGCAUAAAAACCAUAGCCACCACGAGAGAGAGACAGUAGGAACUGCAGAUGCUGGAGAAUCUGAGAUGACACGGUGUAGAGCUGGAUGAACACAGCAGGCCAAGCAGCAUCAGAGGAGCAGGAAGGCUGAUGUUUUGGGCCUAGACCCUUCUUCAGAAAUUGUUUAACCAGCAUGUUUACUAUCUCCGCAAUGGUCACCUACAGCUUACUUAU